AAGUCGUAACAAGGUAUCCUUCUCCGGAAGCCUGUGUUCUCAGCGACUCUAAACAAUCGAGCAAGUGGCGUCGGCCGCUACAUAAUCGAAUUGCGGGGAAGCCCUAAAGCUCUAGCUACUCCCCAGCGGCCGAAAGGCUCCUGGCAAAGUCACAAUACUAGAGAUGGAACAAUGGGUGAUCCGCAGCCGAGCCCCUACCGCGUUACUAUAUGCUACGGGGAAGGUUCACAGACUAAGUGGUUAUGGGUCGAGUUUGCUCGACUUAAGAUAUAGUCGGUCGUUCAGCGAAAGCUAGACGCUAAGACGUUCCGUAGGUGAACCUGCGGAAGGAUCAUUACAGAGUUCAUGCCCUCGCGGGGGUAGAUCUCCCACCCUUGAAUACUAUACCUUAGUUGCUUUGGUAGGCCGUGGAAACACCAUGGGCUUCCGGCUUAUGCGUGCCUGCCAGAGGAAACAAACUCUGUUUUUAGUGAUGUCUGAGUACUAUAUAAUAGUUAAAAAACUUUCAACAACGGAUCUCUUGGUUCUGGCAUCGAUGAAGAACGCAGCGAAAUGCGAUAAGUAAUGUGAAUUGCAGAAUUUAGUGAAUCAUCGAAUCUUUGAACGCACAUUGCGCCCCGUGGUAUUCCGGGGUAUGCCUGUCGAGCGUCAUUUCAACCCAUCACGCCCCGGCGUGACUUGGGGCCUGCGGUUUCGCAGCCCUAAACUCAGUGGCGUGUAUUGAGCUCUGAGCGUAGUAAAUCUUCUCGCUAUAGGGUCUCGGUAGCUGCUUGCCAACAACCCCCAAUUUUUAUCAGGUUGACCUCGGAUCAGGUAGGGAUACCCGCUGAACUUAAGCAUAUCAAUAAGCGGAGGAAAAGAAACCAACAGGGAUUACCUCAGUAACGGCGAGUGAAGCGGUGACAGCUCAAAUUUGAAAUCCGCCGCAAGGCCGAGUUGUAAUUUGUAGAAGAUGCUUUGGGUAUAGCCCCGGUCUAAGUUCGUUGGAACACGACGUCGUAGAGGGUGAGAAUCCCGUAUGUGACUGGGUGCUUUUGCCUAUGUAAAGCUCUUUCGACGAGUCGAGUUGUUUGGGAAUGCAGCUCAAAAUGGGUGGUAUAUUUCAUCUAAAGCUAAAUAUUGGCCAGAGACCGAUAGCGCACAAGUAGAGUGAUCGAAAGAUGAAAAGCACUUUGGAAAGGGAGUUAAACAGUACGUGAAAUUGUUGAAAGGGAAGCGCUUGCAACCGGACUUGCACGCUGUCGAUCAUCCAGGCUUCUGUUUGGUGCACUCGACGGUGUUCAGGCCAGCAUCGGUUUUGGUGGUGGGAUAAAGGCCUUGGGAAUGUAGCUUCUUUCGGGGAGUGUUAUAGCCCUCGGUGCAAUGCCGCCUACCGGGACCGAGGACCGCGCUUCGGCUAGGAUGCUGGCGUAAUGGUUGUAAGCGACC
rnacentral:rRNA from 1 species